rnacentral:tRNA from 1 species
GGGUCUGUAGCUCAGGUGGUUAGAGCGCACCCCUGAUAAGGGUGAGGUCGGUGGUUCAAAUCCACUCAGACCCACCA